ensembl:lncRNA
CUGGCCAAGAUCUGUGCUGAACCAGACUUAAAGUGGCCAGAUGCCCUUCCAUUAGCAUUGAUGAAUAUGAGGGCCACUCCCAAUUGAAAGACUGGACUCAGCCCUUAUGAGAUUCUGACAGGAUGCCCGCUGCAGCUUCCAGCAGCACCUCCGCUGACCCUUGCCCAGAUGGACAUUCAUUUAAUGGAUGUCACAAAGCUUAAUUAUUGUCAGGCAUUAAUUAAAUGUGUCAGGUCUCUUUAUACACAGGUGAAAGAUGCACUACCCAAGGAUCCUGAGCAACCCUGCCACUUGCUGGAACCAGGAGACUAGGUCUACAAAAAGGUCCAUCAGUGAAAGACCGCCCUGACCCCGCACUGGAAAGGCCCUUACCAAGUCCUGUUAACUACCAACACCGCUGUGAACUGCCAAAGGACUGACUCCCUGGACCCAUGCUUCUCACUGCAAAAAGGCCCCUCCACCUCGAGACGACUCUCCGACUGAUGAUCGGUCUAUCUCUCCUUCUGGUGCUGCUGUUCCUUCUGGACAGCAGGAGAAAAAGACCCCUCCACCUGGAGAGGAUUCUCCAGCUGCUAAUCAGCCUAUUUCUCCUGCUAGCUCUGCUGUGCCUCCUGGACAGCAGAGAAAGAGAACAAAGUGAAGUGCUAGUAACCUCUCCCUUGUCCACUGACAGACCUACUGUUGCUCUGAAUUUUUCUAGAAGAAGCAAAACCAUUACAGGGUGAUGUGCUAGUAACCUCUCCCCUACAUGAUGCUAAACCACACUGUUUCAAGAAAAGAGAAGAAGGAACACUUGCUUCAUUAGAACCACCAAAGUCCAGGGAUUCCUGACUACAAAAGACAUUAAGAACUGACCCUGGUGAAGAAACAAAGAAUUAUACACUGGCAGGAAGAAACUUGUGGGACCCAUGCUUGGGAAUGUGGUAUAGUACUACACCAAAAAAAAAUGUAUUAAGAUAUCAAUGAACUGUGAUUAACACUACACUAGGGACUGUUAAAUUUUCAUUACCCUUAUUCAGUUUCCAGAUCACCACUACAUACCCAAAUUGCUCACAGGGGGCUGCCAUUAGAUUAGCACAACAGAAGGUUUGGGUUAUUUCCUCUAGAAAGAAAAGUGACUUGACCGGAUCCCUAUGGGAUAGGGCCAAAAGUGCAGCAGCAGUUUGGAAUAUUUUUAAGAACCAAGAACAUGAUGAGAAAUUGGGGCACAGCUAACCCAGGUACAGGCUAGAAUUGGUGAGUUACAUGUUAUCUCCGCCCUUAGUUCUAUGACCCAGAAGUUGCUGACAGAAAUAGUAUUAAAUAUCACUGAGGCUGGAAAGGCAUUGCAGUGAGAUCUAGCAUGUUCAGAAAUUCAGGAUUUCCUGAAUGACUAGCUAAUGGUCAUUCGGAAUGAUUUAGAGCAUCAGGCUUGGCCCACUGCCCUUACAGACACGUCAGGAGUACCAUCUGAUCUGUGGCCAUAAAGACAUACUUGGAAACUUUCUGGGUAGAAGUGUAGACGUUCUCAGUGCUCCUUCCAAGCAUAUGGACCAGUACAGGGGGUGUGGGCUCCCACAUACCGUAUCCUGCCGGGUCCAUGGGGAGGAUGCAUAUAAGAUUAAGUAAUUCAUCGAGACAUCUGGGAAAUCAGACCACCUGGUAUGCCCAAUCGAUUUUUAGUUAGUGCUCCUGAGAUUACAUCUGACAUUUGGAUGGGGUUAAGUAACCUGUGGACAUUCUGGCCAUUAGAACCCCCACAGCUUCAGUGUACACGUAAACUGAAGCCAAGAGAAGUUGUCACUGUCUAUGACUACGUUUGCUAAAAGAGUAAGGAACAAGGAACUACCCUGACAGGACACUUACUCUUCCAAGCUAAUAAUAGCUGUGUGUAUGUUAAUGACACCAUAUCACAAGACAUACAUUUUAAUCUCACUACCACUGCAGGCAAUCAUAUCAUUUACUGGCCUGCAGAUAGAGUUUUUCAAGUAGCCCUUAAGUUCCAGAUACCCUUUAACUGGACUAGUUUAGUAUCUGAUAGAUUUCAGAAUUUGUUUUCACUGUUACCAGAGAUUCAGAAAAUCUCUGAAGUACAAGGGCAAAUUCACAUGCUUCAAAAUAUAUAUCAAGUAAAAAAGUAUGCCUUUCAUACUGUUUAUAGAGUAUCUAUUUUAUGUACUAAGUAUAAUGUAUUGUGCUUUAUGACUAAGGCUGUACAACAACCCCAUUAUAGUAUUGUUAUAAGAAUGUUAUUGCUUGUAUUGUUAUUAGUUAGCUUAAAAUUAUGUUAUUGUUGUAAAAAACGUAAUAAUAGUAAUACCUUUCAUGUCCAUGCUCAUCAUGCAUUGUCAUUACAUCCAAUCAAAACCCUUUAGGUUAAAGCAUCUAAAGUAAAAUCUGAAUUCCAAGACUUAAUGCAAAUAGAGAUUUAAAAAUGUUUGUUGUACUAGUAUACAAAAGGGGGGGGGGUUGUAGAAGCAGAGAAAGAACUGACAGGAAGGGAAUGCAAUGCAUGNNNNNNNNNNAAAAUACCUGUCCACCUCGGGACGCCACUACGACUGCUGAUAAGACUAUUUCUCCUUCUAGCUCUGCUGUGUCUUCUGGACAGCAGGAAAAAACUGUGACAAGGUGGAGUGCUAGUAACCUCUCCCUUGUCCACUGACAGACCUAUUGUGCCUUUGGAUUUUUCUAGAAGAAGCAAAACCAUUACAGGGUGAUGUGCUAGUAACCUCUCCCCUGUAUGAUGCUAAACCACACUGUUUCAGGAAAAGAGAAGAAGGAACACUUGCUUCAUUGAAACCACAAAGUCCAGGGAUUCCUGACUACAAGAGACAUUAAGAACUGACCCUGGUGAAGAAACAAAGAAUUAUACACUAGCAGGAAGAAACUUGUGGAACCCAUUCUUGGGAACGUGGUAUUGAUUGGAUUUUGGGUUUUAUUCUACAGUCUGUGCCCUGUGUUUUGGAUAAGUCCUUCAGCAUGUAUUGCCCUCCCUAAUUGGAUUUUAAAUGAUAAGUACCAGAGGCACCUUGUUGCCAUUGCCCCUGCCAUCUCCUCUAUUACACUAUUACCCCUGUAAUACAUCCAAAUACAGACAAUGCCAUAGAUUUGAUAAAAUCAAUGAGAGAGGCCCUUAUUGUUAUUUGGUCACCCAAUUAGUGAACAAUUAAAUGAAUACCCAAAUUGCUCACAGGGGGCUGCCAUUAGAUUAGCAUAACAGAGGGCUUGGGUUAUUUCUUCUAGAAAGAAGAAAGACUUGACCGGAUCCCUAUGGGAUGGGGCCAAUAGUGCAGCAGCAGUUUGGAAUGUUUUUAAGAACCAAGAAUAUGAUGAGAAAUUGGGGCAAUUAGAGAAGGCCAUUGGCCUUGUUUCUGGAGUACAAUUAACCCAGAUACAGGCUGGAGUUGGUGAGUUACAUGUCAUUUCCGCCCUUAGUUUAAUGACCCAGAAGUUGCUGACAGAGAUGGUAUUGAAUAUCACUGAGGCUGGGAAGGCAUUGCAGUGGGAUCUAGCAUGUUCAGAAAUUCAGGAUUUCUGGAAUGACUAGCUAAUGGCCAUUCGAAAUGAUCUAGAGCAUCAGGCUUGGCCCACUGCCCUUACAGACACAUCAGGAGUACCAUCUGAUCUGUGGCCAUGGAGACAUACUUGGAGACUUUCUGGGUGGAAGUGCAGAUGUUCUUAGUGCUCCUUCCAAGCAUAUGGACCGGUUGAGGGAGUGUGGAAUCCCACAUACCGUAUCCUGCUGGGUCCAUGGGGAGGAUGCAUGUGGGAUUGGGUAAUUCACCAAGACAUCUGGGUUUACCUGGCACAAGUAUUAAAUCAAUCUGAUUUCUGCCUGGCCGUUGCCCCGGACAUGCAAGGUCUGUUAAGUACCUGCCUUGUUCCUGUCUGCAAACCACCCAGCAACAUCUGGGGUGUGAGACAGUAAAAGAAAUGUGUUGUUUUAAGCUUACUGAUAAUAGUAAUUGCAUGCAAUAGCAAAUUGAUAUGCUGAAAUGUUAUGCUUAAGCCAUUUGCCAGGAUGUUUUACCUUUUUAGUGAAAUUAUAUUUAGUCAUGGUUACCCUUAGGGUGGAUAAAAACCCUCUUAUAGUAUGGGGUUUUAGUCCUAGUUCUUGGUGUUUUAUUUUGCUGCUUUGUUCAGUGUAUACCCAAUCUAGUGGCGUUGUGCAUGCUACCCUGCGAGGGUGCUCUGUUUAAACACCGCAUCUAAAAUAGAAAAGGGGGGGAUGUAACCAGUUAGAAGUGUUGUAAGCAGAGAGGUAGAAAGAAUAAAAACCCCAGGAAAGUUUUCCUGGGGG